CCAUGGGACAGGAAAAGGAUUGGGAACAUCCCAUGGGACAGGGCAGGAUCUGGAACAUUCCAUGGGACAGGGAAAGGACCUGGAACAUUCCAUGGGAUAAGGAAAGAUCUGGGAACAUCCCAUGGGACACAAGAAGGAUCUGGAACAUUCCAUGGGACAGGGCAGGAUCUGGAACAUUCCAUGGGAUGAGGAAGGAUCUGGAACAUUCCAUGGGACAGGGAAAGGAUCUGGAACAUUCCAUGGGAUAAGGAAGGACCUGGAACAUUCCACGGGACAGGGAAGGAUCUGGAACAUUCCACGGGACAGGGAAAGGAUCUGGAACAUUCCAUGGGACAGGGCAGGAUCUGGAACAUCCCAGGGGAUAAGGAAAGAUCAGGAACAUUCCAUGGGAUAAGGAAGGAUCUGGAACAUCGCAUGGGACAGGGAAGGAUCUGGAACAUCCCAUGGGAUGAAGAAGGAGCCGGAACAUUCCACGGGACAGGGAAGGAUCUGGAACAUUCCAUGGGACAGGGCAGGACCUGGAACAUUCCAUGGGACAGGGCAGGACCUGGAACAUUCCAUGGGAUGAAGAAGGAUCUGGAACAUCCCAUGGGACAGGGCAGGAUCUGGAACAUCCCACGGGACAGGGAAAGGAUCUGGAACAUCCCAUGGGAUGAAGAAGGAUCUGGAACAUCCCAGGGGACAGGAAAGGACCCAGGAUGAUUCCGGGCUCACCCUCAGCAGGGAUUUCUGCGUGUCGGGCUCGUGCUCGUAGCCCGCGGCCUCGAUGCACUGGCCCACGGCCUCGGGGAGCAGCUGCUGCUCCCGGAUCUCCCGCAGGUACUCGUCGGCUUUCUGACUCUGCUUCUGCAGGGAAACCGGAGCUGGGACGGACUGGGAGGGACUGGGAGGGACUGGGAGGGACUGGGAAGCACUGGGAAACACUGGGAGGAGCUGGGAAGCACUGGGAAGGGCUGGGAAACACUGGGGAAGCACUGGGAAGUGCUGGGAGGUCGGGAGGUGCUGGGAAGCACUGGGAAGGGCUGGGAUGUGCUGGGAAGGACUGGGAGGAGCUGGGAGGAGCUGGGAAGCACUGGGAAGCACUGGGAGGGGUUGGGAAGCACUGGGAAGCACUGGGAAGCACUGGGAAGGGCUGGGAAGCACUGGGAAGGGCUGGGAAGCUCUGGGAAGGGCUGGGAAGCAUGGGGAAGCACUGGGAGGAGCUGGGAGGCACUGGGAGGGGUUGGGAAGCACUGGGAAGCACUGGGAGAGGUUGGGAAGCACUGGGAAGCACUGGGAAGAACUGGGAUGUGCUGGGAAGCACGGGGAAGCACUGGGAAGCACUGGGAAGCACUGGGAAGCACUGGGAAGCACUGGGAAGGGCUGGGAAGCACUGGGAAGCACUGGGAAGCACUGGGAAGCACUGGGAAGCG
rnacentral:lncRNA from 1 species